rnacentral:rRNA from 1 species
UACGUAGGGGGCAAGCGUUGUCCGGAAUCAUUGGGCGUAAAGAGCGUGUAGGCGGCUCGAUAAGUCCGCUCUGAAAGCCCGGGGCUCAACCCCGGGAGGCGGGCGGAUACUGUCGAGCUAGAGUCCGGAAGAGGCGAGUGGAAUUCCUGGUGUAGCGGUGAAAUGCGCAGAUAUCAGGAAGAACACCCGUGGCUAAGGCGGUUCUCUAGUACGGUACUGACGCUGAGACGCGAAAGCGUGGGGAGCGAACAGG